UACGUAGGAGGCGAGCGUUGUCCGGAAUUACUGGGCGUAAAGGGCGCGUAGGCGGCGCGGGAAGUCCGUGGUGAAAGCCCGAGGCUCAACUUCGGGUCGGCCAUGGAUACUCCUGGGCUUGAGCACUGUAGAGGCAGGUGGAAUUCCGGGUGUAGCGGUGGAAUGCGUAGAGAUCCGGAAGAACACCGGUGGCGAAGGCGGCCUGCUGGGCAGUAGCUGACGCUGAGGCGCGACAGCGUGGGGAGCAAACAGG
rnacentral:rRNA from 1 species